AGCGUACACGGUGGAUGCCCUGGCAGUCAGAGGCGAUGAAGGACGUGCUAAUCUGCGAUAAGCGUCGGUGAGGUGAUAUGAACCGUUAUAACCGGCGAUUUCCGAAUGGGGAAACCCAGUGUGUUUCGACACACUAUCAUUAACUGAAUCCAUAGGUUAAUGAGGCGAACCGGGGGAACUGAAACAUCUAAGUACCCCGAGGAAAAGAAAUCAACCGAGAUUCCCCCAGUAGCGGCGAGCGAACGGGGAGCAGCCCAGAGUCUGAAUCAGUGUGUGUGUUAGUGGAAGCGUCUGGAAAGGCGCGCGAUACAGGGUGACAGCCCCGUACACAAAAAUGCACAUGCUGUGAGCUCGAUGAGUAGGGCGGGACACGUGGUAUCCUGUCUGAAUAUGGGGGGACCAUCCUCCAAGGCUAAAUACUCCUGACUGACCGAUAGUGAACCAGUACCGUGAGGGAAAGGCGAAAAGAACCCCGGCGAGGGGAGUGAAAAAGAACCUGAAACCGUGUACGUACAAGCAGUGGGAGCCUCUUAAUGGGGUGACUGCGUACCUUUUGUAUAAUGGGUCAGCGACUUAUAUUCUGUAGCAAGGUUAACCGAAUAGGGGAGCCGAAGGGAAACCGAGUCUUAACUGGGCGUUAAGUUGCAGGGUAUAGACCCGAAACCCGGUGAUCUAGCCAUGGGCAGGUUGAAGGUUGGGUAACACUAACUGGAGGACCGAACCGACUAAUGUUGAAAAAUUAGCGGAUGACUUGUGGCUGGGGGUGAAAGGCCAAUCAAACCGGGAGAUAGCUGGUUCUCCCCGAAAGCUAUUUAGGUAGCGCCUCGUGAAUUCAUCUCCGGGGGUAGAGCACUGUUUCGGCAAGGGGGUCAUCCCGACUUACCAACCCGAUGCAAACUGCGAAUACCGGAGAAUGUUAUCACGGGAGACACACGGCGGGUGCUAACGUCCGUCGUGAAGAGGGAAACAACCCAGACCGCCAGCUAAGGUCCCAAAGUCAUGGUUAAGUGGGAAACGAUGUGGGAAGGCCCAGACAGCCAGGAUGUUGGCUUAGAAGCAGCCAUCAUUUAAAGAAAGCGUAAUAGCUCACUGGUCGAGUCGGCCUGCGCGGAAGAUGUAACGGGGCUAAACCAUGCACCGAAGCUGCGGCAGCGACGCUUAUGCGUUGUUGGGUAGGGGAGCGUUCUGUAAGCCUGUGAAGGUGUGCUGUGAGGCAUGCUGGAGGUAUCAGAAGUGCGAAUGCUGACAUAAGUAACGAUAAAGCGGGUGAAAAGCCCGCUCGCCGGAAGACCAAGGGUUCCUGUCCAACGUUAAUCGGGGCAGGGUGAGUCGACCCCUAAGGCGAGGCCGAAAGGCGUAGUCGAUGGGAAACAGGUUAAUAUUCCUGUACUUGGUGUUACUGCGAAGGGGGGACGGAGAAGGCUAUGUUGGCCGGGCGACGGUUGUCCCGGUUUAAGCGUGUAGGCUGGUUUUCCAGGCAAAUCCGGAAAAUCAAGGCUGAGGCGUGAUGACGAGGCACUACGGUGCUGAAGCAACAAAUGCCCUGCUUCCAGGAAAAGCCUCUAAGCAUCAGGUAACAUCAAAUCGUACCCCAAACCGACACAGGUGGUCAGGUAGAGAAUACCAAGGCGCUUGAGAGAACUCGGGUGAAGGAACUAGGCAAAAUGGUGCCGUAACUUCGGGAGAAGGCACGCUGAUAUGUAGGUGAAGCGACUUGCUCGUGGAGCUGAAAUCAGUCGAAGAUACCAGCUGGCUGCAACUGUUUAUUAAAAACACAGCACUGUGCAAACACGAAAGUGGACGUAUACGGUGUGACGCCUGCCCGGUGCCGGAAGGUUAAUUGAUGGGGUCAGCGCAAGCGAAGCUCUUGAUCGAAGCCCCGGUAAACGGCGGCCGUAACUAUAACGGUCCUAAGGUAGCGAAAUUCCUUGUCGGGUAAGUUCCGACCUGCACGAAUGGCGUAAUGAUGGCCAGGCUGUCUCCACCCGAGACUCAGUGAAAUUGAACUCGCUGUGAAGAUGCAGUGUACCCGCGGCAAGACGGAAAGACCCCGUGAACCUUUACUAUAGCUUGACACUGAACAUUGAGCCUUGAUGUGUAGGAUAGGUGGGAGGCUUUGAAGUGUGGACGCCAGUCUGCAUGGAGCCGACCUUGAAAUACCACCCUUUAAUGUUUGAUGUUCUAACGUUGGCCCGUAAUCCGGGUUGCGGACAGUGUCUGGUGGGUAGUUUGACUGGGGCGGUCUCCUCCUAAAGAGUAACGGAGGAGCACGAAGGUUGGCUAAUCCUGGUCGGACAUCAGGAGGUUAGUGCAAUGGCAUAAGCCAGCUUGACUGCGAGCGUGACGGCGCGAGCAGGUGCGAAAGCAGGUCAUAGUGAUCCGGUGGUUCUGAAUGGAAGGGCCAUCGCUCAACGGAUAAAAGGUACUCCGGGGAUAACAGGCUGAUACCGCCCAAGAGUUCAUAUCGACGGCGGUGUUUGGCACCUCGAUGUCGGCUCAUCACAUCCUGGGGCUGAAGUAGGUCCCAAGGGUAUGGCUGUUCGCCAUUUAAAGUGGUACGCGAGCUGGGUUUAGAACGUCGUGAGACAGUUCGGUCCCUAUCUGCCGUGGGCGCUGGAGAACUGAGGGGGGCUGCUCCUAGUACGAGAGGACCGGAGUGGACGCAUCACUGGUGUUCGGGUUGUCAUGCCAAUGGCACUGCCCGGUAGCUAAAUGCGGAAGAGAUAAGUGCUGAAAGCAUCUAAGCACGAAACUUGCCCCGAGAUGAGUUCUCCCUGACUCCUUGA
rnacentral:rRNA from 1 species